UACGAAGGGGGCUAGCGUUGUUCGGAAUUACUGGGCGUAAAGCGUGCGCAGGCGGUUUGCUAAGACAGGUGUGAAAUCCCCGGGCUUAACCUGGGAACUGCGCUUGUAACUGGCAAGCUAGAGUGUGGCAGAGGGGGGUGGAAUUCCACGUGUAGCAGUGAAAUGCGUAGAGAUGUGGAGGAACACCGAUGGCGAAGGCAGCCCCCUGGGCUAACACUGACGCUCAUGCACGAAAGCGUGGGGAGCAAACAGG
rnacentral:rRNA from 1 species